GCGGCCAGCUGGCACCGCCCCGUCGGGCGGCCAGCGCAUCCCUGAGGCCGCACCGCGCGGGUGGCCCGGGCGGCGACGACGGGGGCGGGGGGGCGCGGCGGCCUCCCGGAUGCUUGCGGCAGAAGGCGCUGGUGUACCCCUAUCAUGGGCAGCAACCCCUUGGGAAGAGCUGAAGACCAGCCAGGGGAGAGGGAAAAAAAAAAAGCACAGAACACAUGCUGGUUCCAGAUUCCUGGCAAGAAUCAGAGCGCCUGUGCUGUGCUGAAAGCCGGCCCAAGCACAGAGCAGCAGAGGCCACUUGGAGCAGCUGCUGUCGACUUCCGCCUCGCUGGACAGCAUCCCUUCAGAUCCAUCUUUUCAAGAAACUGUGGCCAGGACACUGCUGAUCUGCUUGCUGUCAUCUCUCGUGUGGUUCUUGGGUGUCUCUUCAGAACAUGCUCCGAGGCUCCUCUUACGUUUCCCUGCAAAGAACCCUUGUAAGGGGGCUGCCUGCACAUGGCCUGCAUCUCUCGUUUCUACCACUGAGUUAGAGACACCUCCUUGCUCAUUUGGCAACAGCAGCAGCAGAAGUUGGAAUCUGUGCCACCUGGGACGUACCUGAGCCGGAGCCGAAGCAUGUGGUACUCUCAGUACGGGAACGAGGCCAUCCUUGUCCGGGACAGA
rnacentral:lncRNA from 1 species